GCGGUGAAGCGCUGCAGCGUCCGGAAGCAGAGGUGCUCUUCGCCGAAGGAGGUUUCGAUGACCUCGCCCUGCACCGUCACACGGAGGGACCCGUUGAUGGUGUCCGGCGGCUGGGACAGGAUGGCGAGGUGAGUCGGCCCGCCGCCCCUGCCGACGGUGCCGCCGCGGCCGUGGAACAUGGUCAGCUUCACGCCGUAGCGCUUCGCCACCUUCGCCAUCGCCUCCUGCGCCUUGUACAGGUGCCACGCCGCCGACAGCCGGCCGGCGUCCUUGCCGGAGUCCGAGUAGCCGACCAUCACCUGCUGCUUGCCGCCGAUCCGGUUCAUGUACCAGUCCAGGGAGAAGAGCCGCUCUAUGGACGCCGGCGCCGACUGCAAGUCGGCGAGCUUCUCGAACAGCGGGACCACGGGCAGCGGCUGCUUCACGUGGCACUCACGCUGCAGGAGCUCGACGGCGAGCACGUCGGAGGGCGCCGUCGCCAUGGAGAUGAUGUACGGGCCGAAGCUGUCGCGGGGCAGCUCGGCGAGGACGUGGAAACAUCCGAGCACGUCGGCGAUCUCCUCGGUCUGGGGCAUGUCCUUGCUCAGCAGUGGCCGCUUGCCGCGGAGCUCGGAGAGCAGCCACUCCUGGCGCUUCUCCUCGGACCACUCGCGGUAGGACCCGAUGCCGAGGUGCGUG
rnacentral:lncRNA from 1 species